UACAGAGGGUGCAAGCGUUGUUCGGAAUUAUUGGGCGUAAAGCGCGUGUAGGCGGCUUUGCAAGUCGGGUGUGAAAGCCCUCGGCUCAACCGAGGAAGUGCGCCCGAAACUGCAGAGCUUGAGUACCGGAGAGGAUGGCGGAAUUCCCCAAGUAGAGGUGAAAUUCGUAGAUAUCGUAAGGAAGACCAGUGGCGAAGGCGGGUCUCUGGACAGUUCCUGACGCUGAGGCACGAAGGUCAGGGGAGCAAACGGG
rnacentral:rRNA from 1 species